rnacentral:rRNA from 1 species
AUUGAACGCUGGCGGCAUGCCUUACACAUGCAAGUCGAACGGUAACGGGCCUUCGGGUGCCGACGAGUGGCGAACGGGUGAGUAAUGCAUCGGAACGUACCUUUCAGUGGGGGAUAACGUAGCGAAAGUUACGCUAAUACCGCAUAUUCUGUGAGCAGGAAAGCAGGGGAUCGCAAGACCUUGCGCUGAUUGAGCGGCCGAUGUCAGAUUAGCUAGUUGGUGAGGUAAAGGCUCACCAAGGCGACGAUCUGUAGCGGGGUCUGAGAGGAUGAUCCGCCACACUGGAACUGAGACACGGUCCAGACUCCUACGGGAGGCAGCAGUGGGGAAUUUUGGACAAUGGGGGCAACCCUGAUCCAGCCAUGCCGCGUGAGUGAAGAAGGCCUUCGGGUUGUAAAGCUCUUUCGGCCGGGAAGAAAUCGCAUGGGUUAAUACCCUGUGCGGAUGACGGUACCGGCAUAAGAAGCACCGGCUAACUACGUG